rnacentral:rRNA from 1 species
AUGAACGCUAGCUACAGGCUUAACACAUGCAAGUCGAGGGGCAGCAUGAACUUAGCUUGCUAAGUUUGAUGGCGACCGGCGCACGGGUGAGUAACACGUAUCCAACCUGCCGAUGACUCGGGGAUAGCCUUUCGAAAGAAAGAUUAAUACCCGAUGGCAUAGUUCUUCCGCAUGGUAGAACUAUUAAAGAAUUUCGGUCAUCGAUGGGGAUGCGUUCCAUUAGGUUGUUGGCGGGGUAACGGCCCACCAAGCCUUCGAUGGAUAGGGGUUCUGAGAGGAAGGUCCCCCACAUUGGAACUGAGACACGGUCCAAACUCCUACGGGAGGCAGCAGUGAGGAAUAUUGGUCAAUGGACGAGAGUCUGAACCAGCCAAGUAGCGUGAAGGAUGACUGCCCUAUGGGUUGUAAACUUCUUUUAUACGGGAAUAAAGUGAGGCACGUGUGCCUUUUUGUAUGUACCGUAUGAAUAAGGAUCGGCUAACUCCGUGCCAGCAGCCGCGGUAAUACGGAGGAUCCGAGCGUUAUCCGGAUUUAUUGGGUUUAAAGGGAGCGUAGGCGGACGCUUAAGUCAGUUGUGAAAGUUUGCGGCUCAACCGUAAAAUUGCAGUUGAUACUGGGUGUCUUGAGUACAGUAGAGGCAGGCGGAAUUCGUGGUGUAGCGGUGAAAUGCUUAGAUAUCACGAAGAACUCCGAUUGCGAAGGCAGCCUGCUGGACUGUAACUGACGCUGAUGCUCGAAAGUGUGGGUAUCAAACAGGAUUAGAUACCCUGGUAGUCCACACAGUAAACGAUGAAUACUCGCUGUUUGCGAUAUACAGUAAGCGGCCAAGCGAAAGCGUUAAGUAUUCCACCUGGGGAGUACGCCGGCAACGGUGAAACUCAAAGGAAUUGACGGGGGCCCGCACAAGCGGUGGAGUAUGUGGUUUAAUUCGACGCAACGCGAAGAACCUUACCAAAUCUUGACAUCCCUCUGACCGGGACUUAACCGUCCUUUUCUUUCGGGACAGAGGAGACAGGUGGUGCAUGGUUGUCGUCAGCUCGUGUCGUGAGAUGUUGGGUUAAGUCCCGCAACGAGCGCAACCCCUGUGAUUAGUUGCCAGCGAGUAAUGUCGGGAACUCUAAUCAAACUGCCGGUGAUAAAUCGGAGGAAGGUGGGGACGACGUCAAAUCAUCAUGCCCUUUAUGUCUUGGGCUACACACGUACUACAAUGGCUAUAACAAAGAGAAGCGAGACAGUGAUGUGGAGCAAAACUCAAAAAAAUAGUCUCAGUUCGGAUUGAAGGCUGAAAUUCGCCUUCAUGAAGCUGGAAUUGCUAGUAAUGGCAGGUCAGCAUACUGCCGUGAAUACGUUCCCGGGCCUUGUACACACCGCCCGUCACACCAUGGGAGCCGGUAAUACCCGAAGUCAGUAGUCUAACCGCAAGGAGGACGCUGCCGAAGGUAGGAUUGGCGACUGGGGUG